GGCUCAGGAUGAACGCUGGCGGCGUGCCUAACACAUGCAAGUCGAACGAAGCGGCUCAAAGUUUUCGGACAGAGAGUUGACUGAGUGGCGGACGGGUGAGUAACGCGUGAGGAACCUGCCUUUCAGUGGGGGACAACAGUUGGAAACGACUGCUAAUACCGCAUAACAUGAUCGGACCGCAUGAUCUGAUCAUCAAAGCUUUAUGUGCUGAAAGAUGGUCUCGCGUCUGAUUAGCUUGUUGCGGGGUAACGGCCCACCAAGGCGACGAUCAGUAGCCGGUCUGAGAGGUUGAACGGCCACAUUGGGACUGAGACACGGCCCAGACUCCUACGGGAGGCAGCAGUGGGGGAUAUUGCACAAUGGGGGAAACCCUGAUGCAGCAACGCCGCGUGAGGGAAGAAGGUUUUCGGAUUGUAAACCUCUGUUUUCAGUGAAGAAACAAAUGACGGUAGCUGAAGAGGAAGCCACGGCUAACUACGUG
rnacentral:rRNA from 1 species